rnacentral:rRNA from 1 species
UACAGAGGUCCCGAGCGUUGUUCGGAUUCAUUGGGCGUAAAGGGCGCGUAGGCGGUGGGGUAAGUUGGAUGUGAAAUCUUGGGGCUUAACCUCAAAAUUGCAUUCAAUACUGCUCCGCUCGAGUUCUGUAGAGGAGAUUGGAAUUUACGGUGUAGCAGUGAAAUGCGUAGAUAUCGUAAGGAACGCCAGUGGCGAAAGCGAAUCUCUGGGCAGCAACUGACGCUGAGGCACGAAGGCCAGGGGAGCAAACGGG